rnacentral:lncRNA from 1 species
CUUGAAUAAAAUUGGUCUGAACUGCACAUGUUGACUUAUACAUAGAUUUUCUUCUACCUCUGCCACUCCUGAGACAGUAAAAUCAACUUUUCCUCUUUCUUCUUCUCCUUAGUCUACUCAAGAUGAGGACAACAAAGAUGAAAACUUUUAUGAUGAUCCAUUUCCACUUAAUUAAUAAGCUGCUAGUCUGUCUCCAAAAAAAGUGGACUGCAGCAUUUACAAGAAGUAUCCAGUGGUGGCCAUCCCCUGCCCCAUCACAUACCUACCAGUUUGUGGUUCUGACUACAUCACCUAUGGGAAUGAAUGUCACUUGUGUACCGAGAGCUUGAAAAGUAAUGGAAGAGUUCAGUUUCUUCACGAUGGAAGUUGCUAAAUUCUCCAUGGACAUAGAGAGAAAGGAAUGAUAUUCUCAUCAUCAUCUUCAUCAUCCCAGGCUCUGACUGAGUUUCUUUCAGUUUUACUGAUGUUCUGGGUGGGGGACAGAGCCAGAUUCAGAGUAAUCUUGACUGAAUGGAGAAAGUUUCUGUGCUACCCCUACAAACCCAUGCCUCACUGACAGACCAGCAUUUUUUUUUUAACACGUCAAUAAAAAAAUAAUCUCCCAGAAAGUUUA